CAGUCGCCACGGUAAUACGUAGGUGGCAAGCGUUGUCCGGAAUUAUUGGGCGUAAAGGGCUCGCAGGCGGUUUCUUAAGUCUGAUGUGAAAGCCCCCGGCUCAACCGGGGAGGGUCAUUGGAAACUGGGAAACUUGAGUGCAGAAGAGGAGAGUGGAAUUCCACGUGUAGCGGUGAAAUGCGUAGAGAUGUGGAGGAACACCAGUGGCGAAGGCGACUCUCUGGUCUGUAACUGACGCUGAGGAGUGAAAGCGUGGGGAGCGAACAGGAUUAGAUACCCCAGUAGUCCCUGUCUCUUAUAC
rnacentral:rRNA from 1 species